rnacentral:rRNA from 2 species
AGCAUCCGUAGCCGGUCGCAUAAGUUUUCGGUUAAAUCUAUGCGCUCAACGUAUAGGCCGCCGAAAAUACUGUGCAGCUAGGGAGUGGGAGAGGUACACGGUACUCGGUAGGAAGGGGUAAAAUCCUUUGAUCUAUUGAUGACCACCUGUGGCGAAGGCGGUGUACCAGAACACGUUCGACGGUGAGGGAUGAAAGCUAGGGGAGCAAACCGGAUUAGAUACCCGGGUAGUCCCAGCUGUAAACGAUGCAGACUCGGUGAUGCAUUGGCUUGUGGCCAAUGCAGUGCCGCAGGGAAGCCGUUAAGUCUGCCGCCUGGGAAGUACGUACGCAAGUAUGAAACUUAAAGGAAUUGGCGGGGGAGCACAAGCC